GACGAACGCUGGCGGCGUGCUUAACACAUGCAAGUCGAACGGAAAGGCCCUGCUUUUGUGGGGUGCUCGAGUGGCGAACGGGUGAGUAACACGUGUGUAACCUGCCCUUGACUUUGGGAUAACUUCAGGAAACUGGGGCUAAUACCGGAUAGGAGCUCCUGCUGCAUGGUGGGGGUUGGAAAGUUUCGGCGGUUGGGGAUGGACUCGCGGCUUAUCAGCUUGUUGGUGGGGUAGUGGCUGACCAAGGCUUUGACGGGUAGCCGGCCUGAGAGGGUGACCGGGCACAUGGGGACUGAGAUACGGCCCAGACUCCUACGGGAGGCAGCAGUGGGGAAUAUGGCACAAUGGGCGGAAGCCUGAUGCAGCAACGCCGCGUGCGGGAUGACGGCCUUCGGGUUGUAAACCGCUUUCGCCUGUGACGAAGCGUGAGUGACGGUAAUGGGUAAAGAAGCACCGGCUAACUACGUG
rnacentral:rRNA from 1 species